rnacentral:rRNA from 1 species
CUCGAGUGGCGAACGGGUGAGUAACACGUGGGUGAUCUGCCCUGCACUUUGGGAUAAGCCUGGGAAACUGGGUCUAAUACCGAAUAUGAUCAUCAGCUUCAUGGUUGGUGGUGGAAAGCUUUGCGGUGUGGGAUGGGCCCGCGGCCUAUCAGCUUGUUGGUGGGGUAAUGGCCUACCAAGGCGACGACGGGUAGCCGGCCUGAGAGGGUGACCGGCCACACUGGGACUGAGAUACGGCCCAG